GCCGCAGAGCUGGGCCAGCCUAGGGAGCCGGCGGGUGGCCAGGGAGCGACAGGUGGUUGGCAGGCAGGGUCUCAGCGCACACGUGCACGCACCCGAGGAGCCCUUCAGGGCCAGGAUCCCGCCGUGCGCAGCCACGUGCAGUCUGGCUCCCCUACGGUGCUGCUUCUGAUGCUUAUUCUUAGUUUUCGUCUUCUGCUUGUUCUCCGCCUUUUAUGGCUUUAACUGUGUGCUGUUAGAUGAUUUACUGUCAUUUUUAAUUAACAAAUACUAAUCUUGCAUAUUUAUGAGAUGCAGUGGAGUUUUUCAACACGCACACCACGUAAUGGUCAAAUGUGGGCGAUGAACACACUGGGAGAGACCCUGUCACGGACUGCAGCGUAGGACUCGCCUAGAAAUGUGCGACAGACUUCCGAUCAUGACAGAUGGUGGCAAUAGAAGGAAAGGACCAGCAAGUGCACACACUCUAAGGCAAAAACCUCUAAAAAAAUAAAUAAAAGCCUCAGCCAUGAAUCCUGUGCCGAGUGAGGAAAAGAUGUCGCUGUUUUGCCCUACUGGGAGCAGAGUGGAUUGUGCUUUGAACCGUCAGGAAUCAGGGCCCCUGUGAAGGAAACGGAUCAGGGGUCUUCUUUGCCAUUUCCUGCUGCUCUUACUGAAACCUGUCACGAGUGUCCCAUGAAUUGUGUAGUGAGCGAGCCUCCAGCAAAAGCUCGUCACCUGUCCUCUGAGACUUUGUGUCAGACUCAUCUGUGAGACUCUGCCUGUGCUUGUCGGCAUCCACUGUUGGGAAGUCGUGUCUGGCCCCAUG